rnacentral:rRNA from 1 species
UACGUAGGGGGCAAGCGUUGUCCGGAUUUAUUGGGCGUAAAGAGCGUGUAGGCGGCUUUACAGGUCCGUUGUGAAAACUCGAGGCUCAACCUCGAGACGCCGGUGGAAACCGUAUGGCUAGAGUCCGGAAGAGGAGAGUGGAAUUCCUGGUGUAGCGGUGAAAUGCGCAGAUAUCAGGAAGAACACCCGUGGCGAAGGCGGCUCUCUGGGACGGUACUGACGCUGAGACGCGAAAGCGUGGGGAGCGAACAGG